AGAGGUAUUUAAGAGAUGUGGCACUAUGGGACAUAGUUUAGUGAUGGGACUCAGUAAGUUACAUUGAUGGUUGGGGGUGGUAGUUUUGAAGGUCUUUUCCAACCUAAAAGAUUCUAUGAUUCUACUACUGACAAACCGCUUUGAUCAAACUUUACAAACGUGUUAAGGAAUUAAAGGUAUUUUCCUUCAAGCAACUGUAAGCAACUGGAUUUCUACUCACACUUUGGAGAACUUGGUUCCUUGUAUUUUGUUAGUUUUCUUCUAUUUAUUUUUGCACAGUUUUCUUACAUAAUAUUUGUAGAACAAUCUUGCUCCAAAGAAGGAUUUCUAUCUAGCAUUUUUAGCUGUAACUAAGUGUAACAUGUCUAGUAAAAUGAUUCAUUAUAUCUUUUUUCUUCAACAGCUCUAACUUUAAAAAAUCAGCACUGUGUUGCAUCAAAUGUUUUGGUGCUAAAAGAGUGCUAUAUGGCUGCAACUGAUGGUAAUAUACUUCUUGACUGUAACUGAAAUUGUAUAUAAACUUGUAUAUAAGCAUCAAGUUUCCUCCCAAAAUAUUUAUAAAAUAUUUAUCAGUUUUCUGUUUAAAUUAUGAAUAACCUUUUAGAACAAUCAUUACCUGGGUUUAAUAUAGCUCAUAGAUAUACUUUUAAGACACUUUCAAAGUCCUUCAAAAAUUUUGUCCUCUGUUUAAUUUUUAAACAAUACCAACAAUGAUUUUAAAAUGUCAUUUUUCCUAAUAAAUUAAUUUUCUGAAGACACUACUUCCUCUGAUUUUUUUUUUCUAAUUUGGAAAAUGUUUUUUUAUAGAAUAUGUUGAUGAUUAUCUCCAUCUCUUAUGAUAACUUUUUAAUCUGUUUCCUUCUCCUAUCCUGUUGACAUCUCAGUCUUCACUCCACAACUCAAAUGGAAGCCUGGUAUGGAUUCAUACUACAAACACAUUUUUCCCAAUCUUACAGCAAUGUCAAAAUGUUGCAGGAAAACUGUGACCAGAGCCAUCUGGAAGUCACUAGCUACUGGAAGAGGAAUCUCCAGGCCUGCAGACACUAAGCUUAGCCAUGCCCAGACUCCUUUACCAUUCCACUCUUGUAGAGGAGGCUCUGCUGUCUUUUGUCUUUUCUCUGUAUUGCUUCACUCAUUAAAAGAUGAGAGAAGUACUAGUGUCUCUGGUUCAUAGCCCACUAGUGUUCCCUCCCUGAGAGACACUAUCCCAGUUGUGCAGCCAUGCUGGCCAGCUGGCAAUGAGACCACCCCACCUCUUUCUUCCAGGACUGCCUUCUGCAGAGGUGUUUCCAGCUCUGCAGCAGCACAGCCACAGCAGAGAAAGGCAUUGUCUGAAAGUGUCAGUGCUCCCCUUCUCCUUCUCCACAUCACAGACAUUGCCAACAAUAGUUACUCCAUGGCUGAGAGUGUAUUUCUGCUCAGCUUUCAGAUAUCCUACCCCAGUAAUAGAAAACUAGCAGAUACCUUUGGCCCCCAGGAAAAACAAAAAAAAAAAAAAAAACAUGGGGUGGCUGGGUAUAAUGCACAGUAAUCUUAUCCUAGCAGGUCAAUAUAUUGUCAUUUUUAACACUUACCAAGACACAAACUUGCUCUUUAACACAGACACAUGAAAUGUUCAUAGACCUUAUGCUGAGAACAUCUCUCAGCCAACUGGAAUGACUCUGCAGAAGACAGUGAGAAUGCCAUCCUUCUUUAGAGCUCUUGCCUCUUACUAACUCUUACUAAAAAAGGAUUUUUACUGAGCACAGAUCACCUAUGCCUGCAGUUCAGUGCAGUACUUUACUGGUCACUGUGCCAUUUAGCAGGCAAUUUCAGAGAUUCCUUCCCUUUUGCAGUCAGUAUGUUUCAGUGAACAGAAGAAAACAAAGAUGAACAAAAUGCUAAAAAAUAAUAACAAAAAAUUGAAGGUUCAGAAAAGUUUUUCAAUUAAUAUUAUAAAUUUGCAUGAAUCAGAUUUCAAGUUACUAAUAGCAUUUCUUAUAUUGUAUCCAAAAAUUAUUGGCAAUGUCUGAGUUGUUUCCUUUUCCAAAAACAAAUUUCAUUUAAUCCCAUAAACUCACUUGAUAUAAUGAGAUAUAAUUUCCUAGCAUUCUGCUAAAGCAUUUUCAGAUCUGUGAGGAACACAAGUCACCAAACAUGCAUUACUUAUCUUGACUACUUCUCAGGUCCUACAUUGUUGCUCUUGAGUGUGUGUGUGUGUUGCGGUGGGGGUGUUGUCCUUGACAGCAAAACCUCAUAAUUAAUCACUUUGCUGUGUUCAGACAGCAAUAUUAACCGUUAACCACAAUAAAGGAAGGAAAGCAGGAACAGGAAAAGGCUUCAUAAUGUACAUAAGACAAGGAGAGUGCUCUCUCGUUUAAAAUUUUUGUCCUACCAGAAACAAGAGUUUCAGAAUAUUUAUAAAAUCUUAUGAAUGAUAAUGAUAUGAGGCAGGCUGAGUUACCACAGAAGUACCAGUAAAAACAACUUGAAACAUCUAGUAAAAUGACAUUCAAACUACACAGUGAACUUCUUGUACCUUCAGCAAAUUUAUGUUCUAAUUUAUAAGCCAAAGCCUUUUCUCUCUUCUUAUAAUACAGAACCUUUGGAUUUCAUGUAAUGGACAUAGGAAAUAAAACUAAGAUUGUCAGAGAUAUAAGUUCCAAAUGUCUAUCUUUUUAUUAUUCAGUAUCAUACAUGUUGUGUCCGUUAUCUUGCGCAAUUAGAAAACUCACAAAGCUAGCUUCCAAAUACACCUAUAUACACCUAACUAUACAUGAGGCCAGCCUGUUUACAUAAUCAAUGUUACUUUUUUUUCUCUUUAUUUCUUUCUCCUUAUUUUUAUUUCUGGUUACAGAUACAACAUUGUAACUACCACAGGUGAUACUGCUACAACUGACACGUCUACUGUCCUUAUGUACAUGCUUUAGCACAAAUAAGUAAAGUUUUUUGGUUUUGUUAUUCUAAUAAAAGUAAUAUAACUCCUGUAGGGGAGGAUUUUCCUUCUUUUUCCUCCAAACUAUGUUUUGCCAAUUCCUUCUCUCAUUCACAUUGCAAACUCCUUAUAACCUAUCAUCACUAACAUAAAACUAAACUGCCAAUGUAGUAAGGCAUCUGGCUAAAACUAGAUCACAACAUGAAGAACAUUUGGUUAAAAGUGGAACAGAAGUUUAAUAUAUCAAUUCAAAGAAUCUAUAGUGUAUGAAGAAGUUUCUGCAAAUCAGCACUGAAAACUGAUUUAAAUCUUUUUUAAGUGUCAUUUGAAGGUGUUUAAAUGUUAAAAGCCUAAAAGCAAAUUUUUAUACUGUGACCUUAGGUCCAAGUUUGAAAUUUUCUUCUCUGUAUGUUUUAUGUGAUGUGGAACUGGGGGCAUCUUUUACCUCCAGAAAAUACAUAGUGUUCUUGAUCAACACAGUGACAAUUUUUUAUUUAUUGAAAAUUACAUUUGGCUAUCUUCAUCUGUCUAGGUCUAUUAAGCAUUAAUAGCAAUUUGUGUUCUCUUAAUAGUACAAUCUACAGGACUGUGCAAAACUGAGGGCAGCUCUCUGUUGACGUAAUGUAUAUACUCAUAGCCAUUUACUUACUUUCACACCCCAAAAAAAUGAUAAGGCUUGCAUAUGAUGCCUUUUCAUGGACUGUUUAAAAAGCAAGCAAGAAAAUAGAAAACAAAACACGUAAAGAUACAAAAAAAAAAAAAGUUUUAAAA